rnacentral:rRNA from 1 species
UACGUAGGGUGCAAGCGUUAAUCGGAAUUAUUGGGCGUAAAGAGCUCGUAGGCGGUCUGUCGCGUCGAUCGUGAAAACUUGGGGCUUAACCCUGAGCUUGCGGUCGAUACGGGCAUGACUGGAGUUCGGCAGGGGAGACUGGAAUUCCUGGUGUAGCGGUGAAAUGCGCAGAUAUCAGGAGGAACACCGGUGGCGAAGGCGGCAUCCUGGACCGACAUUGACGCUGAGGCGCGAAAGCCAGGGGAGCAAACGGG